UACGUAGGGGGCUAGCGUUGUCCGGAAUUAUUGGGCGUAAAGAGCGUGUAGGCGGUUCGGUAAGUCUGCCGUGAAAUCCUGGGGCUCAACCCCGGGCGUGCGGUGGAUACUGCCGGGCUAGAGGGUGGUAGAGGAGAGUGGAAUUCCCGGUGUAGCAGUGAAAUGCGCGAUAUCAGGAGAACACAUGGACGAAGGCAGCUCCGCUGGGAC
rnacentral:rRNA from 1 species